UACGUAGGGUGCAAGCGUUAUCCGGAUUCACUGGGUUUAAAGGGUGCGUAGGUGGGUUGGUAAGUCAGUGGUGAAAUCCCUUCGCUCAACGAAGGAACUGCCAUUGAUACUGCUAUACUUGAAUAUAGUCGAAGUGGGCGGAAUGUGACAUGUAGCGGUGAAAUGCUUAGAUAUGUCACAGAACACCGAUAGCGAAGGCAGCUCACUAGACUAACAUUGACGCUCAUGCACGAAAGCGUGGGGAGCGAACAGG
rnacentral:rRNA from 1 species